GUGUGCUCAGUAACUAUUUCCUCUGUAAAUUCCUACCUUCCGGCUACCCUCCCCCCUUCCCAUCGAGCAAGCCUCGUGUAACAAAUUCCUGUGUUAAAAGAACAACUUCCUUUGCUAACUCCUCUCCCACUUCCUUUGUGUAACUAACAGCUAUGUGCCACGUGUAACAAAAUGGAGAAUCGCUGUUAAAGUAACUGUUUCCCCUUCAGCCCCUCUCUGUUCAUUAACUACUCACUCCCCCUACCAUCGUGUAACCAAG